AAAAGGAUCAGGCCAAGGGCCUGUCUGGUCCAGCCUCCUCUUUUCCCAGGGGCCACCCAGAUGCCACUGCAAAAGCAGCCAACAGGAUUCAAGCCCAAGAAGCAGUUGCUUCAAAGAUCCCUUCUUUCUUGCAGGAUCUCGAUCGUGCACUGCUGUGGCUGCUGCCCAAGCCUCCCCCAAAAAGACCAGGUAAGAGGAAGGGAACCUUUGCAUGGGGCAGGGAGAAGGCUGGGGGCCUUCCUACAGGGGUUGCUUCACUACAGCUCCCAUUGUCUUUGACCACUGUCCUUCCCCCCCUUUUUUUAUAAAAAAAACACAGCUUGAGGACUGAAUUCCAGAUUGGAUAGAUCUCAGCUGAAGGACUGUAUUCCGGUUUCUGAUUUGUCAGCUGCUGAAGCAUUUGAAAGCUUUGAUGUGAUAAAUAGAGGCUUUACAAAUGUGAAGAGCGAACUUUUCCCUGUUCAUCCUUUGGACACACCGGAUAAUUUUGUUGUUGCUAAAUCAAGAUAAGAUGAAUUUGUCUACUCUGAGAAAUAUACUGGGGCUGCAUGCACCGCUGAAGCUGCAGAUGGAAUUCCAAGCAGUGAAGCAGGUCCAGCAUCUUCCUUCCUAGUCCUAACUUGUCCCUGGAUAUCUGGAAAGGCAACUGUGACUGCAUUGGUUUUGAGGAUAUUCUGAACGACCCGGCCCAGAGUGAAGGAAUGGGAGAUCCUCACAUUUUGGUUGAACACAAACUUGGUUUCUUAUAAUGCGCACAUUCUCCAUCCUCCUGUUUCUUACCUGUGUCCCUGUGGGUUCAAGUAAACCAUAUAAGCAGUAGUUGUACAGCAGUUGUUUUGAUACACACAAUCUCUCACCUACUUUGAUAAAAACAAGGCACAUUAAAUGCUUAAAUAUA